CUCGAUGUGCCAUGAAAAUUGACA
rnacentral:siRNA from 1 species